rnacentral:lncRNA from 1 species
GAAGACAGUAGAGAGGGCUGAAAAAUUGAAGGGCGCAGCUGGGGCUGCUUCUUCUGAAAAAUACAGAAACGCAACAUAGAUACGAUAGAGGCUGGAAAUUGAAGGGGCCCAGCUUUGCUAUUCUUCUGAACAAUACACACACAUAAUACAGAUUACAUUACACAAGCAUACACACGAUAGAGAAGAGAGAUACGCAGAGACGCCUGGGAAUGGGGGAAGGGCUGGCGGCUUGACUUCUUCACAAAAACACACACAAUACAGAACAUAGAGAUACAGAGAGAGACACCUGGAGCAAAAGGCUGCGCAGCCUUGCUUCUUGACAAAAGGCUCGAAGAUACACACACCUAUAUACACGAUACAAUACAAUAUUUAGGCCUGGAAAUUCGAACUGGACAAGAGCUUUUCUUCUCCAUGAGAGCUAUCAUCUAAAAAAUCCAGGGACCCUAUCUUCUUCACAAGAGUAGAAUUCACGAGAGAACCCUACGCUAGCUUCUGAACUCUCAAAAAAAGCCGUUGCGGCUGCUGUCUCCGGCGAGAACUCCAACCGUCCUUCUCCUUCAUCUUUUUUAAACAGAACCCUAGAGAAGCUAGAGAUCAGCGGCUAUUUCCUCAUCUUAAACCUAAGUGAAUGCCAAUAAAAGACCAGCGGUUCCCAGUCACCUCUCGCAAACACUGCAGCUACCAUAACUGGCCGGAUAUCCGGCAGAAAUUUUGAUCAUGAAACUGAGAUGGAUGUGACCUGAGUCGAUGUUUGACGUUGGUUCCAAUUUGAAUCCUGUUGCCAUUCGAGGUUGAAAGGCGCAAUGAUGUCUUUUUUGGUCUGUCGAGGUCGAGUCUCCGGUGAGUCGAGUUGUAAUCUUGCUGUUUAGACGCUGAGUCGAUGUUGAAAGGCCUGUAAUUCAAUCCCUAAGGAAACAUCCUUAAGCUUAACUGAUGGUUCGUUCAUUCUGUCCCUUAACACUCUGGUUCCCAAGACGCUGAGUCGAUGUUGAAAGGCCUGUAAUUCAAUCCCUAAGGAAACAUCCUUAAGCUUAACUGAUGGUUCGUUCAUUCUGUCCCUUAACUACUUCCUUCCCUAAUUACAUUUUGAUAUCAAUUCUCUGUUGCUUAGUUCUAUUUUGUUAUUUGAUUUGAUGUAUAAUACAUUCUCCAAUUUUGCAUAUUUGUUCCAUCUUCUUCACUGUUAUCGCCUUUCCACCCCUAUGUGGUAGUUUGGUGACUUACGAAGUUAUUCCACUGUUUUCCUUCAAAUUUUCC